UUGUUUUUUAAUUUUCUCCUCUGGUGGAAUAUCUUCUGAGCUCCAACUUGGUCCAGAUCGUAGGAGGCCGUCUCUUCGAGACUAAAUAAAUAAAACAUCUCAGAGACUACGCUAAGGAGCUGCUUAUUCUGGCCAACUUAUCAUAGGAGGCCGCCAGAAGAAUAUGUAAAUGAGGGUGGAGCAGGACUUGAAGCAGCGAAAGAUAAAACCAGUGUCAGAGAUCAUAAGAAUCGAGCAAGUGGGAAUGGAAAAGCGUAAGAUGAUUUUAAAACUUGGAGACAAAGGGAGCAGGCUGAAACAGCUAAGAUCGAGCAGCAAAGAUUGAGCAGCUUAAAGACGAAAAAAUUUCUUAAACCAAGCAGGGGCAGCAGCUUGAAAAAUCGAAGUUUUAAGUUCGCCCAGCAACAGCUUCAAAA